rnacentral:rRNA from 1 species
GACGAACGCUGGCGGCGCGCCUAACACAUGCAAGUCGAACGAGCGAGCGAGAGCUUGCUUUCUUGAGCGAGUGGCGAACGGGUGAGUAACGCGUGAGGAACCUGCCUCAAAGAGGGGGACAACAGUUGGAAACGACUGCUAAUACCGCAUAAGCCCACGGUGCCGCAUGGCACAGAGGGAAAAGGAGCAAUCCGCUUUGAGAUGGCCUCGCGUCCGAUUAGCUAGUUGGUGAGGUAACGGCCCACCAAGGCGACGAUCGGUAGCCGGACUGAGAGGUUGAACGGCCACAUUGGGACUGAGACACGGCCCAGACUCCUACGGGAGGCAGCAGUGGGGAAUAGUGCACAAUGGGGGAAACCCUGAUGCAGCGACGCCGCGUGGAGGAAGAAGGUCUUCGGAUUGUAAACUCCUGUUGUUGGGGAAGAUAAUGACGGUACCCAACAAGGAAGUGACGGCUAACUACGUG